UCUGGCGAGCAGAUCCACUUGUCUGGGUCCCUGCAGUGAAGAACCCAAGAUCCAGGACCAGGCCUUCUGUCAGAGAACGAUUGGCUGCAAGGCCAGAAACCUGUGGCUCCGGGAAGCCUGGCUUGGGGACUUCUAUAUCUGAGGGAGAAGAGUUGCCAAAGGGGACGGAGGCUGGAUUUCUUCCUCCUUGAUAGACUGGACUGGAAGCAAAGGAGACAGCCCUUCUCCAAACAGGAGUUUCUCCUCUUUCCCUGGUCCUGCAGAAGCAAGAGGAGCUAUCCCCUCCUCAGCUAGCAGUACCUGAAAGGGAAACAGAGACAAGGUGAAAGGGAACUCUGGCUUCAACCAACGGUCACCAGACAGGACGCACAAAAAAAUCACAUACUGGUUCUGAUCCUCUUUGUGUCAUUUUAAAGUCUUAAAAUCUAUUAAAUAUGAGAAUACAAUGUAUGUUGAAGUUGGUAGUUCAGUUCUGGGGGUAAAAGAUGAGAGUAUGUAGUGGCAUAAUUAUAAUAGCAUUCAUCCGAGAGAAAAUAAAAUUGCAUGCUUAUCUUA